rnacentral:rRNA from 1 species
UUCCCCUAGUAACUGCGAGUGAAGCGGGAAAAGCUCAAAUUUAAAAUCUGUCAGUCUUUGGCUGUCCGAGUUGUAAUCUAGAGAAGCGUUAUCCGCGCUGGACCGUGUACAAGUCUCCUGGAAUGGAGCGUCAUAGAGGGUGAGAAUCCCGUCUUUGACACGGACUGCCAGGGCUUUGUGAUGCGCUCUCAAAGAGUCGAGUUGUUUGGGAAUGCAGCUCAAAAUGGGUGGUAAAUUCCAUCUAAAGCUAAAUAUUGGCGAGAGACCGAUAGCGAACAAGUACCGUGAGGGAAAGAUGAAAAGAACUUUGGAAAGAGAGUUAAACAGUACGUGAAAUUGCUGAAAGGGAAACGCUUGAAGUCAGUCGCGUUGUCCAGGGAUCAACCUUGCUUUUGCUUGGUGUACUUUCUGGUUGACGGGUCAGCAUCAAUUUUGACUAUUGGAAAAAGAUCAAGGGAAUGUGGCAUCUUUGGAUGUGUUAUAGCCCUUGGUUGCAUACAAUGGUUGGGAUUGAGGAACUCAGCACGCCGCAAGGCCGGGUUUUAACCACGUACGUGCUUAGGAUGCUGGCAUAAUGGCUUUAAUCGACCCGUCUUGAAACACGGACCAAGGAGUCUAACAUGCCUGCGAGUGUUUGGGUGGAAAACCCGAGCGCGUAAUGAAAGUGAAAGUUGAGAUCCUUGUCAUGGGGAGCAUCGACGCCCGGACCAGACCUUUUGUGACGGUUCCGCGGUAGAGCAUGUAUGUUGGGACCCGAAAGAUGGUGAACUAUGCCUGAAUAGGGUGAAGCCAGAGGAAACUCUGGUGGAGGCUCGUAGCGAUUCUGACGUGCAAAUCGAUCGUCAAAUUUGGGUAUAGGGGCGAAAGACUAAUCGAA